UCCUUCAUAAGGGGAGUCCGUCAAGUUUGUGUGAAGUUGUGAAAAGUUGUGUCAACCCGAAAAAAGAGCAGAGAAACUCCUCCCGUCUUCAAAUUAUGAGCAAUCAGCAGCAGGGUGAAAUGGCCGCAGUGGAGAGCGGAGGAGGCUACAGUCAAAAGCGAGACACAGGAAAUUCACAAGACUCACCAGCAGCCGUUCUCCUCUCGGCCUUCGUGUUUGGCAGCCACUGCAGUCGAAUUGACACCCCAGGAGUGAGG